GAUGAAGAACGUAGCGAAAUGCGAUAAGUAAUGUGAAUUGCAGAAUUCAGUGAAUCAUCGAAUCUUUGAACGCACAUUGCGCCCCUUGGUAUUCCGAGGGGCAUGCCUGUUCGAGCGUCAUUUUAACCCCUCAAGCUCAGCUUGGUGUUGGGGCCUGCCGCACGGGCAGCCCUUAAAAUCAGUGGCGGUGCCAUCUGGCUCUAAGCGUAGUAAUUCUUCUCGCUAUAGAGUCCCGGUGGAUGCUUGCCAUUAACCCCCAAUUUUCUAUGGUUGACCUCGGAUCAGGUAGGGAUACCCGCUGAACUUAAGCAUAUCAAUAAGCGGAGGA
rnacentral:misc_RNA from 1 species